rnacentral:rRNA from 1 species
GAUGAACGCUGGCGGCGUGCCUAAUACAUGCAAGUCGAGCGAACAGACGAGGAGCUUGCUCCUCUGACGUUAGCGGCGGACGGGUGAGUAACACGUGGAUAACCUACCUAUAAGACUGGGAUAACUUCGGGAAACCGGAGCUAAUACCGGAUAAUAUAUUGAACCGCAUGGUUCAAUAGUGAAAGACGGUUUUGCUGUCACUUAUAGAUGGAUCCGCGCCGCAUUAGCUAGUUGGUAAGGUAACGGCUUACCAAGGCAACGAUGCGUAGCCGACCUGAGAGGGUGAUCAGCCACACUGGAACUGAGACACGGUCCAGACUCCUACGGGAGGCAGCAGUAGGGAAUCUUCCGCAAUGGGCGAAAGCUUGACGGAGCAACGCCGCGUGAGUGAUGAAGGUCUUCGGAUCGUAAAACUCUGUUAUUAGGGAAGAACAAAUGUGUAAGUAACUAUGCACGUCUUGACGGUACCUACUCAGAAAGCCACGGCUAACUACGUG